UACAGAGGUCUCAAGCGUUGUUCGGAUUCAUUGGGCGUAAAGGGUGCGUAGGUGGCGCCAUAAGUCAGGUGUGAAAUCUCGGGGCUCAACUCCGAAACUGCACUUGAUACUGUGGUGCUCGAGUACUGGAGAGGAGAUUGGAAUUUACGGUGUAGCAGUGAAAUGCGUAGAUAUCGUAAGGAAGACCAGUGGCGAAGGCGAAUCUCUGGACAGUUACUGGCACUGAGGCACGAAGGCCAGGGGAGCAAACGGG
rnacentral:rRNA from 1 species